rnacentral:tRNA from 1 species
AGCACCGAGGUGAUGAUCAUAGCAGACUGCAAAUCUGAAGGAGCGGGCUAGAGCCCGCCGGGGCUU